GACGAACGCUGGCGGCGUGCCUAAUACAUGCAAGUCGAACGAGAGCGCCCGGUGCUUGCACUGGUCAAUCUAGUGGCGCACGGGUGAGUAACACGUGGGUAACCUGCCCAUCAGAGGGGGAUAACAUCCGGAAACGGAUGCUAAAACCGCAUAGAUCUUCGAGCCGCAUGGCUUGAAGAGGAAAAGAGGCGCAAGCUUCUGCUGAUGGAUGGACCCGCGGUGCAUUAGCUAGUUGGUGAGGUAACGGCUCACCAAGGCCGUGAUGCAUAGCCGACCUGAGAGGGUGAUCGGCCACAUUGGGACGGAGACACGGCCCAAACUCCUACGGGAGGCAGCAGUAGGGAAUCUUCCGCAAUGGACGCAAGUCUGACGGAGCAACGCCGCGUGAGUGAAGAAGGUUUUCGGAUCGUAAAACUCUGUUGUUAGAGAAGAACAAGUGCUAGAGUAACUGUUAGCGCCUUGACGGUAUCUAACCAGAAAGCCACGGCUAACUACGUG
rnacentral:rRNA from 1 species